AUGGGCCAGAUCCAGUACUCCGAGAAGUACUUCGACGACACCUUCGAGUACAGGCACGUCGUCCUCCCGCCGGAAGUCGCCAAGCUCCUCCCCAAGAACCGCCUCCUCGCCGAGAACGAGUGGCGCGCGCUGGGCGUGCAGCAGAGCCGUGGGUGGGUGCACUACGCCGUCCACCGGCCGGAGCCGCACAUCAUGCUGUUCCGCCGCCCGCUCAACUACCAGCAGCAGCAGGACGCGGCGGCCGCCGCCGCGGCGCAGAUGAUGCCCAAGUGA
rnacentral:rRNA from 1 species